GAUGAACGCUAGCGGCAGGCCUAACACAUGCAAGUCGAGGGGUAGCAGGAUUAAGCUUGCUUAAUUGCUGACGACCGGCGCACGGGUGCGUAACGCGUAUGCAACCUACCUUAUACUGGGGUAUAGCCCGGAGAAAUUCGGAUUAAUCCCCCAUAGUACUAAUGAAUCGCAUGGUUUAUUAGUUAAAGCAUUGCGGUAUAAGAUGGGCAUGCGUCCUAUUAGCUAGAUGGUGAGGUAACGGCUCACCAUGGCUACGAUAGGUAGGGGGCCCGAGAGGGUGGUCCCCCACACUGGUACUGAGACACGGACCAGACUCCUACGGGAGGCAGCAGUGAGGAAUAUUGGUCAAUGGGCGCAAGCCUGAACCAGCCAUGCCGCGUGCAGGAAGAAUGCCCUAUGGGUUGUAAACUGCUUUUAUUUGGGAAUAACCUCUUUACGUGUAGAGAGCUGAAGGUACCAAAUGAAUAAGCACCGGCUAACUCCGUGCCAGCAGCCGCCGUAA
rnacentral:rRNA from 1 species